CAACGGAUCUCUUGGUUCUGGCAUCGAUGAAGAACGCAGCGAAAUGCGAUAAGUAAUGUGAAUUGCAGAAUUCAGUGAAUCAUCGAAUCUUUGAACGCACAUUGCGCCCCUUGGUAUUCCGGGGGGCAUGCCUGUUCGAGCGUCAUUUCAACCCUCA
rnacentral:rRNA from 1 species